rnacentral:rRNA from 1 species
AUCAAUUGAUACUCCCCUAGUAGCGGCGAGCGAACGGGGACCAGCCGAGCCUUGAGAGUGAAUUGAAUGGUCUGGAAAGGCCAACCAUAGUGGGUGACAGUCCCGUAAGUGAAGCUCAAUAGGACGUAUUAAGUAGGGCGGAACACGUGAAAUUCUGUCUGAAGAUCGGAGGACCACCUUCGAAGGCUAAGUACUCCUUACUGACCGAUAGUGAACCAGUACCGUGAGGGAAAGGUGAAAAGCACCCCGAUUAGGGGAGUGAAACAGUACCUGAAACCGAAUGCUUACAAGCAGUUGGAGCUCCAUAGGGAGUGACAGCGUACCUCUUGCAUAAUGGGUCAGUGACUUAAUCUACCAUGCAAGCUUAAGCCGUUAGGUGUAGGCGCAGCGAAAG